GGGCAUGUCUUCUAAUGGUCAGGAAGCUUGACUGAUAUUCAAGUAAUGAAGGUUCGAGUCCUUACUUGCCCA
rnacentral:tRNA from 1 species